UACGUAGGGGGCAAGCGUUAUCCGGAUUUACUGGGUGUAAAGGGAGCGUAGACGGUUAUGCAAGUCUGAAGUGAAAGCCCAAGGCUCAACCAUGGGACUGCUUUGGAAACUGUAAAACUGGAGUGCAGGAGAGGUAAGCGGAAUUCCUAGUGUAGCGGUGAAAUGCGUAGAUAUUAGGGGGAACACCAGUGGCGAAGGCGGCUUACUGGACUGUAACUGACGUUGAGGCUCGAAGGCGUGGGGAGCAAACAGG
rnacentral:rRNA from 1 species